CUAACCAAAAUGUCUUUGAUCUCCAUUUUACUCUGCUCGUCCACAUACUUCUGAUAGAAGGCAACGAGAGCUUUAGCAAUGCUCUGGCGUAUGGCAAAGAUUUGGGAGGUAUGCCCACCACCUCUGACGCGAAUGCGCAUGUCGACGCCGGCGAAAGGAUGUCGUCCAAAGAGGAGGAUGGGCUCGUAAGGCUUGAAACGGUAAAUCUCAGGCUCCACCAGCUCGAUUGGGCAG
rnacentral:misc_RNA from 1 species